CGACCACCCAGGGCCGGAAAGUUGGUCAAACCCGGUCAUUUAGAGGAAGUAAAAGUCGUAACAAGGUCUCCGUAGGUGAACCUGCGGAGGGAUCAUU
rnacentral:rRNA from 2 species